AUGACUGUCUUUUUAAAAUACUGACUGUCUUUUGGAUGCACCUUUAGACUCUUCCUGAUAUGGAAUCUUUUUCUUUUUAUUUUUUUCCUGGAUGUAAAAAGAAUUUUUAUUAAGGAAGAAAGAAAAAAGAUAUGGAAUCAUUUUGAAUUGCAUAUUAGGUAUUAUUACCUAGUUAUCAGGCUAGACAAUCUGCUAAAGUGACUUCGAAUCCAUGUGGAAGUCUUCAAGUGACUCUGUAACAUUUAUACAUAAUCUUUUAACCAUGUACUGGAACUACCAAGAGAUGGAUAUCUUGAAAAUAUAGCUGCUUAGUGGGCAAUGUAGGUUUCCGAUAGACAGUUUAUAUUGUGUUAUUAUGGUUCCAACAGGAACUGAAGCAUAUAUGCUGACCCCUUGGGUAGCUGGUGCUUCAACUACUCUGGAUUAUGCUGUUGUUUACAUACUGAUUUAUUUUUACAUCCUGAUCUCUUAUUUCCAUUGAUUUAUAGGCAUCAAUAAAUCAUUGAAAUUUGAAUAUCCUUGCUUUCUGAAGUAUUCA
rnacentral:misc_RNA from 1 species